rnacentral:hammerhead_ribozyme from 1 species
GCACUGCUGAGGAAUCCUACAAUAGGAUGAAACGGCCGUCCAGUGC